CUUUAUUAGAGUGGCAGGAGCGUCCCUGUGCGAGGCCUGACCCAGGUGUGGGCCUUGCAGCCAGCUCGGGGUCCAAGGGGCACUCCUGCGGUGCUGCAAAGGAGGAUUUGUGACAACCCAGAGGAUGGAGGAAACGGCGGCUUUGAAAAGGUUUGUGAGCAGCCCCCGGUCCCCUGCCGCUCCGUGAGAAAUCAAACUUCAGGCACUGACGAAGCAUGAAGCCAGCAUCUUAGGAAGAGGUAGUGACAUAAUUACAAGGGCGACCGGAUUACAAUCACAGCCAGCAUGAACAUGGGGCGGCGCACAGUCCUGAAGAGGAAAGCCGG
rnacentral:lncRNA from 1 species